GGCUGGUCUGAGUGCAGUGGUGUUUACAACUAAUUGAUCACAACCAGUUACAGAUUUCCUUGUUCCUUCUCCACUCCCACUGCUUCACUUGACUAGCCUUAA
rnacentral:Y_RNA from 1 species